rnacentral:rRNA from 1 species
UAGUCCACGCCGUAAACGAUGAGUGCUAGGUGUUAGGGGGUUUCCGCCCCUUAGUGCUGAAGUUAACGCAUUAAGCACUCCGCCUGGGGAGUACGGCCGCAAGGCUGAAACUCAAAAGAAUUGACGGGGGCCCGCACAAGCGGUGGAGCAUGUGGUUUAAUUCGAAGCAACGCGAAGAACCUUACCAGGUCUUGACAUCCUCUGAUACCUCUAGAGAUAGAGUUUUCCCUUCGGGGACAGAGUGACAGGUGGUGCAUGGUUGUCGUCAGCUCGUGUCGUGAGAUGUUGGGUUAAGUCCCGCAACGAGCGCAACCCUUGAUCUUAGUUGCCAGCAUUUAGUUGGGCACUCUAAGGUGACUGCCGGUGACAAACCGGAGGAAGGUGGGGAUGACGUCAAAUCAUCAUGCCCCUUAUGACCUGGGCUACACACGUGCUACAAUGGAUGGAACAAGGGAAGCGAACCCGCGAGGUCAAGCCAAUCCCAUAAAACCAUUCUCAGUUCGGA